ensembl:lncRNA novel transcript, antisense to GALNT12
CAGUAAUGACCAGACACAUCACACCCGCCUUCUAGAAGCCCUCCCUCACAAACCGGAUCAACUGCUAUGAUAAAGGAUUAGGCAGUGGAACAGUCCUUGUGAUCCUGAAGUUAGCAACGCCCUAGCCUCCUUCUUUCAACACCAGCUCUCACUUCUUGUCUUAGAUUGCUUUGCACCUUCCUGUCCCUUAAUUGAUGUCAGGACCUGAAUAUAUUUGAUAGUGAUUUGAAGCACUGAUGCUACAAAUGAAAGAGAUUGAUGCUGGGCCCUGGGACCAGGACAUGUGACAGAGCCAGAGUCCUUCAGGGCUGAUGGGCAUGUGCUAGGACUGACACAGGCUAGCAUCUCCCGAGAAGACGUAAGGACAAGCAACUCCAAAUGGGGAUGACAUUGAUGACUCUUCCACCUCUCCUGAAGAACCCACCCAGGUAAUCACUGCUUGCUCGGAUCCCAGCAAAUUCUAGAUCCCAGAACUAGUGCUCUUAGAGCCAAGGCCAGCCGAUCCAAGUCUGGACUACUGCUCAGAUGAGCCGAGCCUGAAUUUGGGAGUGGUUGUUACAGAGCAUUACCCUGGCAAUAACUGACUGAUGCAGAGAUGUAAAUAGACAUCACUGGUGGAGCCCCCAGGAAAGCUCUUUAACAGAAGACAGACUCAGCUGGCAGGUUUCCCGUCUCCUUGAAUGAAGACAGGCUCAAUGCUUGGAGGGGUGAGAGGAGGCAGCCAUCUUACAACCACAGGUCACAGGAAGACACUAAACAAGGCCGUGUGGAAAGACAGAAGGAGCCUCCAUCCCUCAGCACCACA